rnacentral:rRNA from 1 species
GACGAACGCUGGCGGCGUGCUUAACACAUGCAAGUCGAACGGAAAGGCCCUGCUUUUGUUGGGUGCUCGAGUGGCGAACGGGUGAGUAACACGUGAGUAACCUGCCCUUGACUUUGGGAUAACUUCAGGAAACUGGGGCUAAUACCGGAUAGGAUCUCCUGCUGCAUGGUGGGGGUUGGAAAGUUUCGGCGUUUGGGGAUGGACUCGCGGCUUAUCAGCUUGUUUGUGGGGUAGUGGCUUACCAAGGCUUUGACGGGUAGCCGGCAUGAGAGGGUGACCGGCCACAUUGGGCCUGAGAUACGGACCAGAAUCCUACGGGCGGCAGCAGUGGGGAAUAUUGCACAAUGGGCGGAAGCCUGAUGCAGCAACGCCGCGUGCGGGAUGACGGCCUUCGGGUUGUAAACCGCUUUCGCCUGUGACGAAGCGUGAGUGACGGUAAUGGGUAAAGAAGCACCGGCUAACUACGUG